UAACGACACACCAACUGCCGGAACAAUUUCCGAAAUGUUCAAAUCCUAUCUAUCUAAAGAAUUUCCAGAAUGUUGAAAUUGUAUGUGAAAAAUUCGCAAGACGUUGAAAAAUCCUGUCUGAAAAGUUUCCAAAAUUCAGAACUUUUGAUGCAGAUGGAGAAUUUUUCGCGUGGGAUAGUAUUCAAUCAGUGCUAUUCAAAUCGUUUCAGAGAUAUUUUCACUCUAGGGGAGCAAGUGUACGAUCGACGAGUCAGCUAUGUAAAUGCUAGAAAUGUAAAAUUAUACUAUCUCUUAUAUACUCCUAUAUCGUAAUUUCAACUUCAAAGUAACGCAAGGUGGAAACCAGAUAUUUACGAGAUAAAAUUAAACGAUUACGUAUGUAUAUAUGUGCACUGGAAGUUUUCUAUGAAAUAAUUUAUUAGUCUAAAUUGGAACUAUGGCUCGAAGCUGUGCCGUGGAUUGGUAAUUUUUUACAAAACGAACGUCACAAAAUUAUGGGAUCCGUACAACGUUCGACGAAUUAUUUGCCAGACUGCAGGUUUAUAUUUCGUUAAAAUUUUUCUCUUACAAAUUCUCAUGUAUAUUCAUAUAGGAUAUUGGAGAAUAGUGAUAAAUAUUUUGUAAACGUGAAAUUUCCCAAGCAGGAAAAGAGCGUUAACGUUAAAGAGGAAUAUUAAAAACUGACGAAGAAGAAGCGAAACCCAUUAAUUUCUAGGUGUUUGAAACAUGACUUAAAUUAUAAUUUUUGUAUGUCGUGUACACGCUUUGAAGCUUUCACUACGAGCUUCGACAAAGUAAAGUGUGAUCAUGCUUUUAGCGACAAGGAAAUUUAAAUUAAUAUGAAGCAAAGAAAAAUGUAAUUAAAAUUCUAUGCAUACACACUGUCAUUCUGACACUGUCAUUCUUUCAAAAAUAAUCUCCAUAAAAUUUAACGAGCUGAACUCUGCUCAAACCUACUAAUAAACAAAAAGUACGCAAGAACGAAUUUUGGCAAUUGAAAAUAUAGUAAAAACUGCAUUUAAAA